rnacentral:rRNA from 1 species
GACGUAGGGUGCAAGCGUUGUCCGGAUUUACUGGGCGUAAAGAGCGCGUAGGCGGUCUGUUAAGUGUAGAGUGAAAUCUCCGGGCUCACCCCGGAAACUGCUCUGCAUACUGGCAGACUUGAGGGAUGCAGAGGUUUGUGGAAUUCCUGGUGUAGCGGUGAAAUGCGCAGAUAUCAGGAGGAACACCGGUGGCGAAGGCGGUUCUCUGGGCAUUACCUGACGCUGAGGAGCGAAAGUGUGGGGAGCGAACAGG